rnacentral:rRNA from 1 species
CAAUAGCAUAUAUUAAUGUUGUUGCAGUUAAAAAGCUCGUAGUUGGAUUUCUGCAGGAGUGUCAAUGUCCACCCACGUGUGAGUUGCAGCGACGCUCCUGCAUCCUUCGGUUACCUCCGCUCGGCAUUCACUUGCCGGCGGUUGGCUCCGAAUAUUUACCUUGAGAAAAUUAGAGUGUUUCAGGCAGGCUAAGCCGGAAUACAUUAGCAUGGAAUAAUAGAAUAGGACUACGGUCUCGUUGUUGGUUUGAGGGACUGGAGUAAUGAUUAAUAGGGAUAGUUGGGGGCAUUAGUAUUUAAUUGUCAGAGGUGAAAUUCUCAGAUUAACUAAAGACUAACUUAUGCGAAAGCAUUUGCCAAGGAUGUUUUCAUUAAUCAAGAACGAAAGUUAGGGGAUCAAAGACGAUCAGAUACCAU